GCGCUGGCGUCGCUGCUCAUCUCCUCAGUCUGCCGGCCGGGAGGGGCGGGGCUGGGGUGGGACGGCGCGGGGCUGCGGGACGGCGCGGCCGUGGCCCAACGGUGCGGCUGGCAGCAGGGAGGGGCGGGGCUGGGGCGAGGAGAGCCGUAGUUAUGGCACUCGGGGCACAGAUAGUCUUUGCCGAGAGCCAAAUUCGGCACUCGGCAAAGAUUUUUUUUUAUUAUUUUUUUUUGUCUCCAAACUUUUUGUACUUACUUUACACUUUAUUUUGAUGUGUAUGUUAAAAUUUUUCACGAUUCUAAAUAAAUUUCCUAUAUAUAUUUAAUUUAUUUCGCUUAAAUGUAUUUUUCCUAAAAAUACAAUAUUGAACUACAGAUGCAUCGAAUUAUAGGAUUCGAUAAUUGGAAAAAUUAUAUUCAGGAUACUCGUUAUAGUUUGAGGCCAUUUCUAGAAGCACGUCCAUAAUUUCGAAAAUCUUAUACACAAAAUAUGGCGAGAAAAUUAUGAGAGAAAUGCAUUUUAAUUAUACAAAUUAAAAAUGAAGUCCAAAAAUCAUAAAACCUAGCGACACGACUUGACAUCACAUGAGAAUGUUACGAUAAAUUUUUGAGAUCAUUUCGCGAAAGUUGUCACAUACGAUUGUUAUAAACCUAUACCUCUUAGUUCAUUUCACAUAUGAUCACAUGCGAGAGGUGUAGGUUUAUAACUAACGUACGUGACAACUUUUGGGAAACGUUCUCUAAUUUUUAUCAUAGCAUCUACAUGUGAUGUAAAGACAUGUUGCCAGGUUUUAAGAUUUUCGGACUUUAUUUGUAAUUUAUAUAAUUAAAAUGCAUUUCUGCCGCAAUUUUAUCGUCAUAUUUCUUGUAUAAGACGUUCGAAAUUUCGAGCGUGCUCCUGGAAAUGGUCUCAAACUAUAAUAAGUAUUGUGAAUAUCAUUUUUCCAAUCAACUAAUUCUAUGAUUCGAUGCACUUGUAGUUCAAUAUUGCAU
rnacentral:lncRNA from 1 species